UACGGAGGAUGCAAGCGUUAUCCGGAAUGAUUGGGCGUAAAGCGUCCGCAGGUGGCUAUGUAAGUCUGCUGUUAAAGAGUGAGGCUCAACCUCAUAAGAGCAGUGGAAACUACAUGGCUAGAGUGCGUUCGGGGCAGAGGGAAUUCCUGGUGUAGCGGUGAAAUGCGUAGAGAUCAGGAAGGACACCGGUGGCGAAGGCGCUCUGCUAGGCCGCAACUGACACUGAGGGACGAAAGCUAGGGGAGCGAAUGGG
rnacentral:rRNA from 1 species